ensembl:snRNA U1 U1 spliceosomal RNA
AUACUUACCUGGCAGGGGAGAUAGCAUGAUCACGAAGGUGGUUUUCCCAGGGUAAGGCUUAUCCAUUGCACUCUGGAUGUGCUGACCCCUGCGAUUUCCCCAAAUGUGGAAAACUCGACUGCAUAAUUUGUGGUAGUGGGGGAUGGCACUCGUGUUUUCCCCUG